GCCUUGAUAUGUGGAUUACCGAGAAGCAAAUAACAAACCACAGAAUGUAUCUGCUUCGUCAAUUUUAUAUAUUUUAAAGGAUUGGACUGAUUCACAGAAUCCAGCAGUGUCACCCCAAUGGUCCUUCAUUUGGUCAUUUUUUGCUUACUUGAAUUUCAUGUUAACGUAAAAGUUAACGUAUAAAGGCUUCAAAGACUUAUCGAGCAUUAAGAGAGCUAAUUUUACUUGAGAACUGUAAGAAUGACUCUGUGGUGGUAACUAUUAACUAAGUAACCUGUUAGUGAUUAGAAUCAUUUCACUCAUGUGUCUUAAAGAACAGGGCUUCCCAGUCACAUGCCGACUCAACUUUGUAACAGAUUAACAACAAAAACCUUUUAUUAAAAUUAAAGUAAGACCUGAAAGCUGCCUUGAGACUCCAAACUUUCUAAGCUAGGUGAUGUACAAAAGGAGAAAACUGUGUUUUAGUUUGUUUAUUGAAAUCUGAAGCAGAAAAUAAAAAAUAAAAAAAUUUACACAAUUUCAUUUGUGUUUUAUACUUUAAGGCCUAAAAUACCUUUUUAUAAAACUAUCUCUGCUAUAUUUAUGCACAAACUGACCAUACUGUCACUCUUUUUAAAAAGGAGCAGCAAUUUCCUUUAAAUAGUUACAAAGAACCAUACAACUCUUGUUUUGUUUUGUUUUUUGAGACACCAUGUAGACCAGGCUGGCCUGGAACUCACAGAGAUCUGCCUGACUGUGCCUCCUGAGUGCUGUGAUCAGGCAUGUGCCACCACACCUGGCUAACUUUUCCAGCUAGGACAAACCCUUUCAUCACACAAACUAAAAUAUGAAGUCUACAGCUUGUGAGCCUGUAGUUGGUCACUUAGACACUAACACUUACAGAAAUCUGCCUUGCCGGGUGUUCCAUUUUGCAUGACACAUAUGAAUCUUAUAACCUUCAUAAUCUUAUAACCUUUCAUAAUAAGGUUAAGAUGUUUCUAUGAAAGUCAGAAGCUAAAGUUCAACCUAAGUGAGUGAAGAACAGGAACCAACAAAAGGAGUUAAACAGGUGGAAAGGCCUGAGGUCUCACAGGCAGCAAGGGUGCCUUUCCAAAGCAGUCUUCAGUGGGCACCGUCCUCCUCUAUUCCUCAUGUUUCCAGAGCCCUGCAGAUGAGCAAAGAGAAUUUAACCUAUACAAAUUAAU
rnacentral:lncRNA from 1 species